CUACGGGCCGCACCAGUGGGGAAUAUUGCACAAUGGAGGAAACUCUGAUGCAGCAACGCCGCGUGGAGGAUGACACUUUUCGGAGCGUAAACUCCUUUUAUAUAGGAAGAAGAUGACGGUACUAUAUGAAUAAGCGCCGGCUAACUCCGUGCCAGCAGCCGCGGUAAUACGGAGGGCGCAAGCGUUACUCGGAAUCACUGGGCGUAAAGAGCGUGUAGGCGGAUUAAAAAGUCAGAAGUGAAAUCCUAUAGCUUAACUAUAGAACUGCUUCUGAAACUCUUAAUCUAGAAUAUGGGAGAGGUAGAUGGAAUUUCUGGUGUAGGGGUAAAAUCCGUAGAGAUCAGAAGGAAUACCGAUUGCGAAGGCGAUCUACUAGAACAUUAUUGACGCUGAGACGCGAAAGCGUGGGGAGCAAACAGGAUUAGAUACCCUGGUAGUC
rnacentral:rRNA from 1 species